rnacentral:rRNA from 1 species
GACAGAGGGUGCAAACGUUGUUCGGAAUUACUGGGCGUAAAGCGAGUGUAGGCGGUUUGAUAAGUCGGAUGUGAAAGCCCCGGGCUCAACCCGGGAAGUGCACUCGAUACUGUCAAGCUAGAGUAUCGGAGAGGUUGGUGGAAUUCUCGGUGUAGAGGUGAAAUUCGUAGAUAUCGAGAGGAACACCGGUGGCGAAGGCGGCCUUCUGGACAGCAACUGACGCUGAGACGCGAAAGCGUGGGGAGCAAACAGG